rnacentral:lncRNA from 1 species
GACCCAGGGAUGCACCACGUGCCUGCUGCUCAAGUACUUCCACCAGGUAAGCAUGACUUAAAAGGUCCUCUGAAACGAGAGAUUUUUGCUUGUAAAGGCUCUUGUGAUGGGCAAAUGGUUUGAAUUAAAGAGUGAGCCAAUCCAAAUUUCUCUUUGAGAAAAAGGAAAGAGAUGAAACCCAGCUAUCUGAGAGCAGCGUUUGGGAUUACUGGACCCAAAACAAAGCACUUGCAGGUGUCUGAGCGAGGGCUAUUAUGCACUAUGUGCUGACUUAUCAUACCACAUGAAUUACAGGGAUGUGGCUCAGACACUUCUCGAGCCAUCUCAAGUUUAACUGGGCUGGGCCCAUCCCUUUUAUCUUCCGCACAAACUCUCGCUCGGGGUUUCAGACAUGACUUACACCCUGUGGAAAAAAAAAAAGGAUCCUGUCUGUUCCACUCAAGCUUGCUCAUAACCGUAAUUUUAGCCAACCGGAUGCCUCUGGCUAUGCUGGGAUGGAGCCUGGUUCUGGAAACAGGUGGGGGAAGGAAGGAGUAUGAUUAAGAGAAGGGAUUGGAAAUAUGGAAAGAGAGAAGGCUUCAAGGCAGGAGUUCAGCCUCCAUGAAUCACGGCACAGAGAAAGACAGGGAGGACACACACAUUCCCAAAAAAGAAACCUGAUCGAGAGUUAAUAGGAUAACCUUGGCUGACGUUAAGAAUAGGGUGAGGGGAUGAUGCAAACUGUUGAAGGUGCCCUCUUUAGUGGCAUAACAUUAAAUACAGCCAGUAAAGCAGUUGCUGCAUGUCUCAACAAAAAAAAAAGGACUUUUCCAAAGGGGAGACUCAUCUCAAAAAAGAAAACGUGUCUGAUUUCAUGUUGAAAGAAGAGAGUGCAGAAAAUUUGAUUUGUAGCCUGCAUUGGGCUUUAAGGUAUUACGCGAUAAAGGUUGUGACUGUAUUUACAGGGCCCAGUGAGGCAAUCCUUAAUUACACUGAGAGAUACUUCAUUCCUUGAAUAAAAG